GUCCCGGGACAGUGCCGGUACGAACCUCACCCCGCCGCCACCCCCGGGCCAGCUGCUGCAGUCAAUAAGGCGAGGGCCUAGCAGGCGCUCGUCGCCCUCCUGGUGGGGUUCGCUCGGGUGUUCCUACCAGGGUUGAAGAGGGCUAGGGAGCUGAGCUCCGGAAGGGCGGACUAGAGGCCCCAGCGGCCACUCCUAGAGAGGCGGGCAGCUCGGGAGGUCUGAGCGCAGAGGGCGGGCGGAGCCGCACGUUGCGUGGAAUCCCCUAGUUCAUUCCCGGGAGAGCCCCGGGCGCAGGACAGAGCAGUGGAGGGGCGCCUGGGAGCUCUGGGGGACACCAAGAGAGGCGAGGUUAGGGCCAGUGCGCAGCAAACGGGGAGGAACUACGACGCGCUGGGUAGAAAGAGUAAGAGAGACGCACCCACUUUGCUGGUGAGGGGGGCACACGGGGAGCCCAAGAAAGGCCUAAAGAGGUAGUGGGUGUGAGCCAGCCUCGGGCGCGUUAAAAAGCGUGUGCCGGAGGGAGGCAAGGAGAGGAAGUUGGGUGUAGGAAGAAGCGAGAGGAAACUGUUGCCUGGACAGAGCGUGCCGUGCCAAAGCGCGGAAACGGGAUCAAGGAGGGGGCAUCAGGAGUCGCCUGGGGACCCCCCGGAGAGUGGCGGAAGCGGUGCCCUUGGGCGCAGCAAAGAGAGAAGGGAGCACAGGCUGAGAUAGAGACAGUCCUGGGCGCUGGAGAGCAGGAGCCCCCGGAGCGGCAGGGAAAGGAACGUAGAGCCUGCACGCUCGGGGAAUGAGCUUACUGCGCUCGCUAGGGUGGCGCGCACUGGGGCUCUAGAAAAGAGGGUUGAGAAGCCCCGGGCAAGUGCCUAGGAAGGUCAGAGGAGUCAGCAAAGUCCACGGAAAAACUUACCCGGGUUGGAGAGGAAACGCACCCUGGGAGCUGGAAAGAAGAGGAAAGCUAGCCUGGGGGAAGCUUGAUCAGGGCUCUGAGUACCACGAGGAGUGCAGAGGAGGUGCUGAUGAUUGCGGGGAGAGCUCUGAGAGCCCGAGAAAGAUGGGGAGACUGAAGCCCUAGAGGAAAAGAAGACUAAAUGUAUCACCAUCUGACCCACUUCCUGGCCAGCCUGUUCACCUGUCUGCUGUUCUUCAUUGUAAGACGGGCCUGCUUCCCCUUUGCCUUCCGCCAUGGUUAUAAGUUUCCUGAGGCCUCCCCAGAAGCCAGCAUCAUGCUUCCUGUACAGCCUGUGGAACUGUGAGCCAGAACAAGAGAAGGAAUCACAAUUGGUCCAUGACAGUCACGGUCAUCUCAUUCCUCUUGCCAGUGGCAGGUGUAUGUGUGUUUGCAGCUCAAUCCUGUCCAAGGGGAUCCAAGGACUGCUGAAGAGGCAUGUCUGCACAUGUCACCUAGAACAUCUCCAGCCAUCAUGUGAUCUCUGGGGGAGGCAUUCCCAACUCUCUGAGAGAAGCAGACCAGAAAGAUGGAAAGAAAGCGCCUGGCUCCAGGAUGAUGACAUUGAGCCGAUGAAUUAACCACCUUUGUGCUGCUCUAACCUUCAGAGUUCACCUUAACAUGAGAAAAUAAAACCCUUAUUGCUUAG